rnacentral:lncRNA from 1 species
AUUUGUGUGAGGCCUAUUUAGGACAACGGCGAAGUGGGCGAGGUUCGAAGACCGGCUAUUUUAUUUUGGAGGUGCAGCCAUGGGCGGCCGUUCGCGGACCGAUUCAGGCCUUUCCAGUGGCCUGGUGACGUCACGCAGUCAGGUGGUGACGUCACGUGGUCAUCUGGCCACCUCGACGCCGCUAGGUGUCGGCUCGCGACUGAAGGAGGCGCUCCAGGAUUCGGCUCGGGUCCGCCGCCGGCUGGCCGACGAGCUGGCCAAGGAAGCGCGUGCGACCACAGAGCUGGGCGACGGCGACGGCGCCGGUCGCUGGCCGGCCGACCUCACGACUUCGAUGCGGUCGGCCCUGGCGUCGCCCC